UACGUAGGUGGCAAGCGUUGUCCGGAUUUACUGGGCGUAAAGAGCGCGCAGGCGGUCGUUCAAGUCGCGUGUGAAAGCCCCCGGCUCAACUGGGGAGGGUCACGCGAUACUGAUCGACUCGAAGGCAGGAGAGGGAAGUGGAAUUCCCGGUGUAGUGGUGAAAUGCGUAGAUAUCGGGAGGAACACCAGUGGCGAAGGCGGCAUCCUGGACCGACACUGACGCUGAGGCGCGAAAGCUAGGGGAGCAAACGGG
rnacentral:rRNA from 1 species